CAAUAGCGUAUAUUAAAGUUGUUGCAGUUAAAAAGCUCGUAGUUGGAUUUCGGGGCAGCCGGGCUGGUCCGCCGCAAGGCGAGUACUGGUCAGCCGCCCUUCCUCUCGAAAGCCCCGACUGCUCUUCGUUGCAGUGGUCGGGUAGUUCGGGACGUUUACUUUGAAAAAAUUAGAGUGUUCAAGGCAGGCCUACGCCUGAAUACAUUAGCAUGGAAUAAUGGAAGAGGACCUCGGUCCUAUUUUGUUGGUUUCCAGGGCCGAAGUAAUGAUUAAGAGGGACAGUUGGGGGCAUUCGUAUUUAAUUGUCAGAGGUGAAAUUCUCGGAUUUAUGAAAGACGAACAACUGCGAAAGCAUUUGCCAAGGAUGUUUUCAUUAA
rnacentral:rRNA from 1 species